rnacentral:rRNA from 1 species
UACGUAGGGGGCGAGCGUUGUCCGGAAUCAUUGGGCGUAAAGAGCGUGUAGGCGGCUUGGCAAGUCUGACGUGAAAGCCCGCGGCUCAACCGCGGAUUGUCGUUGGAAACUGCCUCGCUAGAGUCCGGAAGAGGAGAGCGGAAUUCCUGGUGUAGCGGUGGAAUGCGCAGAUAUCAGGAAGAACACCCGUGGCGAAGGCGGCUCUCUGGGACGGUACUGACGGCUGAGACGCGAAAGCGUGGGGGAGCGAACAGG